UGGCAUCUCUUGACAGCUUAGUUGCUUCUCUCGUGAGCAAUUGGGUUUUAAUUUAUAGAUGCUAAAUAAACCGUCCCUGCGCUUUCUUCAUGUCUUGUCUGUGAUUUGGAAGAUUGAAUUGGGGACAACAUGG